AGUGAACGCUGGCGGUAGGCCUAACACAUGCAAGUCGAACGGCAGCACAGGAGAGCUUGCUCUCUGGGUGGCGAGUGGCGGACGGGUGAGGAAUACAUCGGAAUCUACCUUUUCGUGGGGGAUAACGUAGGGAAACUUACGCUAAUGCCGCAUACGACCUUCGGGUGAAAGCAGGGGACCUUCGGGCCUUGCGCGGAUAGAUGAGCCGAUGUCGGAUUAGCUAGUUGGCGGGGUAAAGGCCCACCAAGGCGACGAUCCGUAGCUGGUCUGAGAGGAUGAUCAGCCACACUGGAACUGAGACACGGUCCAGACUCCUACGGGAGGCAGCAGUGGGGAAUAUUGGACAAUGGGCGCAAGCCUGAUCCAGCCAUACCGCGUGGGUGAAGAAGGCCUUCGGGUUGUAAAGCCCUUUUGUUGGGAAAGAAAAGCAGCCAGUUAAUACCUGGUUGUUCUGACGGUACCCAAAGAAUAAGCACCGGCUAACUUCGUGCCAGCAGCCGCAGUAACAC
rnacentral:rRNA from 1 species